UUUCGGUGGCCAAGUGCGCCAUUGCCUUUAAGAAAAACUCAGGAAAGUCUCAGACGCUUUAAUUCUUCUCAGUGUUGAUGCUGCAACCGCUUACGGAUCAUCGCUUUCUUCCCCCAGCUGUCAAUGAUUAACGUUGCUCCGCCCUAAUUGUGACAUCACACCCAUUUCAUUCUGCUCUGGUGAUCUCGCUUUUCUUUCUCAUCUCACCCACUUCGAGGUGUGUUUUUUUUUGCCAAUCAACUUACUAAUAUCCGGAUCCAGGGGACCUCACAAGUAGCUGCUCCUCGAGUAAUAUGUUACAUAUCCAGUGAGAUAUUAAGUUAUUGAGGAUUGAAGCUAGCUUUUGGUUUGAGCUCAUGGAGAGGGCGUGAAGCGGGGUGUACGGGCCUCUCCUGCCGGUGAGGGUUGCCAGCCGUCCAUAGCUGUCAUAGGUUGGAUGAGUAGAAAUCCUCCAUCGUUAUUAAUGUAGAUCUAGCCGGCACAACCCUUCCAUCUGGUGUGACGAUCUGUUGCAUCUGACCAGGCGUCAGGAGAGCGAGAACAUCCUCGGCUGAUCUCUCAUCCGUUCAUACGGCAGAUCUGUUCACUUGUAUUGUUUCCUGCUCAUUUCAGCCCUUGCCUUUGUCUUCAGUCAGUGGUUCAAUGAUGUUGGAAAUAUCCUAGAAAAGCUGUGACCACAUGUAACUCAGUCUUUAUACAGUCUAUUUUGAGCAUAAUUCAU
rnacentral:lncRNA from 1 species